AACGUUGUUCAUCAUCAGAGGAAAGACCUGUAUGCUGAUUGGAGUUUGUGCCAUACUCAUAAACAGGAGGAGUUGAGGCAUCAUGAUCAUCCAAUAGUUGGUCCAUGAGAGAAGGAGAACUAUCAUCUUCUAUCAGAAGAGGGGAUGCAUCAGCAUCAGCAGCAGCAGAAGGAUUAAGAGGGGUGGCCUCUCUCAUAACAUCCUCUAUGGACUCAUGGGCAAGCAGCAUUAAGUACUGGUUAUCCAUAGGGACAGACGAAGAGGGAGGGACAUGCACAACCAUGGAACCUGAAGGAAAUGAGGGAAUCUCAGAGGAAAUAGGCUGGUUGGGGUUAAUAACAGUAGAACCAGGUUUCGCUUUACUCCUCUUUCGCCGCUUUUACUCCCAGAUCCUUUCUUCUGCCAUUAAUCCCCGCUGCUCAACUUCAAUUUUAGCUUCAAUUGUGCUCUCACUACUGUUUAUCGAUCUAUGGUUCUCUCAAUUUCAAGGUUCAAUUGCAAUUUGGCUCACAACUUUCGGCCUGUACUAUUGUGACUAAAUCUAUCCAUUUACGUGUGACUAAAUCAAUGACCUAUUUUUUUUAUAAUAUUGACUAUCUGGAAAAAAAAAAAAAAAAAAAAAAAAAACACACACACACACACACAAAUAAAAAAAAGGUCAAUGACAUCCUAUUUUGUAUAAUAUUAACUAUCUGAUUGAUAUUGUUAUGUAAUUACUUACUGCUAUAAUGCAUUACUUGUUGCAAUCUGCUGUUGUUCUGUAUAUACAUACAUUACUUGAUGUUGCUGCAAUUGUUGUAGUUAUUACUAAAUCAAUGACAUCCUACAGGCAUGGAGAAUAAUACUCCCAAAAACUCUGACUUGGGUUGGAAAUAUGGUUUUCUAGUUGGCCCGAAAAAAAACAAAUGAUGUUAUAUGCAAGUAUUGUGGAAAAGUAGCCAAAGGUGGAAUUCAUGGACUUAAACAACACUUGCGGCUGGUGGAUAUCGUAACAUAACAAUCUACAAAAAAAAUGCCCUGAUCAUGUGAGCGAAGAAAUUAUUGAAUACUUGGCUAAAAAAAAAAAAGAACGAUCGAGCACAAAUGAACUUGGAGCAUGACUUUGAUGAAGAUGCUAAUUAUGAUGAAUAAGAAGAUGGAGAUGAAAUGAAAAUGACAGCUAGCUCAAAGAGGAAAACAGCAGCAAAUGCAGCAAGAAAUGUAAAAAAAUCAAGACAUGUUGGGCCAAUGGACGCUUUUAUUAAGCCUCCAAGUGAAACAAAAGGCAAGCAAAGAACACUUGAUGAAUCUUGCAAUAAAGAACAAAGAUAAAAGGCUUGUGGAAGCUUUGCUAAAUGGAUGUAUGAUGCUGGAAUUCCAUUCUAUCCUAGCUUUUGAGUUGCAAUUGAUUCUAUAACAACAGCUCGAAUAGGAAUGAAGCCUCCUGCUUAUGAGGUUCGAGUUCCCUUCUUGAGAAAAGAAGUUGAAAGCACUAGUGAGAGCAUGAAUAAUCAUAGACAAGAACGGACAAAAACGGGUUGUUCUAUUAUGUCGGAUGGAUGGACAGAUAAUUGUGGAAGGACAAUCAUUAACUUUUUGGUUAAUUUUCCAAGAGGAAGCAUGUUCUUUGAGUCGGUGGAUGCCUCAAACUACUCAAAAACGGGUGACAAACUACUUGAGCUUCUAAGUAAAGUUGUGGAAAAGGUAGGAGCAGACAAUGUUGUGCAAGUCGUCACAGACAAUGGAAGCAAUUUUGUGGCUGCUGAUUAGUGUUUUAACUUUUAGUAGAACCUAACACUAAUGCGUAUAAUGCUGUAAUUUUUCACUUAAACUAAAACUUUGAGAAAUGAUGACAGGUUCACUCUUAAUGGCGAAGUAUAAGCACUUGUAUUGGACUCCAUGAGCUUCCCAUUGCAUUGAUCCAAUGCUUGAAGAUAUUGCCCAUAUUCGGGUUAUUGAUAAAGUCAUAAAGAAAGCAAUUCAGAUGAACAGCUUCAUUUAUCAAGGCCCAGGUCUUUUGAAUUUGAUGAGGGAAUUCACAAAACAGAGAAACUUGCUAAGGCCCUCAAAGACUAGAUUUGCAACAGCUUUUAUCACACUUUCAUCAAUACAAAAGCAACAAGAUAAUAUGAAAAAGAUGUUUACAUCUCAAGAAUGGAGGACUAGUAAAUGGGCCAAAGAACCGGGAGGCAAAAGAGCUGCUGAAACUAUCUUGAUGCCUUCCUUUUGGAAUGGAACUGUGUAUGCAUUAAAUUGUAAUGGUCCAUUAGUUCGUGCAUUAAGGUUGGUUUGUGGAGAAAAAAACCAGCCAAGGGAUAUAUUUAUGAGGCUAUGGACCGCGUUAAAGAGGCAAUUGUUUUAUCUUUCAAUGGAAAUGAGUCUAAGUACAAAGAAGUGUUUGAAAUAAUUGAUAAGAGGUGGGAGUGACAGCUACAUCGUCCUUUACAUGUUGCUGGACACUUCUUAAACCAAGAGUAUUUUUAUGAUAAUCCUCAAAUUGAGCAAUGUGAAGUAGUAAAUGGCUUAUAUGAAUGUAUUCAAAGGUUGGUUCUUAUUGUUGACAAGCAAGACAAGAUCAUGGAAGAGCUAACAUCUUACAAACAAGCAUAUGGUCUCUUUGGAAAUGCAAUGGCAAUAAGACAUAGGAAGACUAAGGCUCCUGCUGAAUAGUGGGGUUAUUAUGGCUCUUCAACUCCCACUUUACAACAAUUUGCCAUCAAAAUCCUAAGUCUUACAUGUAGCGCAUCAAGUGUGAAAGAAAUUGGAGUACAUUUGAACAUAUUCACGGCAAAAAAAGAAAUAGGCUCACCCAAGCUUGAUUAAAUGACUUGGUGUAUGUUAAGUACAAUCGAGCAUUAAUUGAAAGGCAUAAGUUACGUGAUAAAAUUGAUCCGAUAGCUUUAAAAGACAUCGAUGACUCCAAUGAGUGGUUGAGUGAGAGGACAGAAGACGCCGAAGAUGCAUUAGUAUUUGAGGAUGAUGAUGGUCUCACAUGGGGACACGUUGCAAGUGCAUCUGGAAUGUAUGAACAGAGGUUUAAUUUGAGGUCUAAAGGGAGUAGUUCUGGAGGAAGGGGAGGUAGCACAAGUCGAAGUUCGCCACAAUGCUAAGGGAAACCAUAAUACUAGAAGAAGGGGAAGAAGAUGAAGAAGAUUGGGAAGAAGAUGAUGAAGGUUAUCAAUCACUUGAGGAAGAUGACAUGGAGGAAGACAUUGCGCAAGGAGAUGACUACAUAUGAUGUCAAUCUUCCAUGUCCUUUUAAUAUUAUAAGUAACUAUGUUUAUAUAUACGUAGUAUCUUUGUUGCAUAAUAUUUAUAAUAAAAAAAAAAAUGAUGUUUGUAUCACCUACAUGUGUUUUUGGAAAAUUAAUAUAAAAUAAAAAUAUUUAGAUAUUUUGUUAAAUUAUUAUGUGCUUUCUUGAUUUAUUUAAUGGGUUAUGUAUGCUUAUGAGUAAAAAAAAAAGGCUUAUUUAAGUAAAAGUGCGCCUCACUUCGACAAGGCGUGCGCCUAGGCUCCAAGACCCCUAUCGCCUUAGUGCGCCUUUUUAUACA